rnacentral:rRNA from 1 species
CAUACUAGAGAGUCAAAUUAUAGGUUUUGGUAAGUGGAGAGAAGAGUAGAAGUUUAGGUACCUAUAAUAAAAGGUGAAAUUUAAUUAUAAGGUAAUACCAAUUAUAGGCUAUAAGAUAUACCCACUAAAUUUAUUAGGAAAACUGGGAUUAGAUACCCCAUUAUAGUAGACUUAAAUGAUUUGCCGGGGCAUUAUGAAUGUAAGUUUAAAACCCAAAGGACUUGGCGGUGCUUUAGACAAUUUAGGGGAAUCUGUUUUAGAAACGAUAAUCCGCGAAAAACCUCACCUCUCUUGGCAUUCAAUAUGUAUACCGUUGUCGUCAGGUAACUCUUAAGGAGCUAGUAGUUGGCGAGAAAAGGAUUAACUUUAGAUGUCAAAUCAAGGUGCAGUUAAUAGAGAGGGUAAAAUGGAUUACUAUUAUAUAAUGUAAUGGAAUUGGUUUUGGAAAGGCAAAGGAAAUAGGACUUAGGAGUAAGAUUAUAUAUAGAGAUGAUUUGAAGUUAGCUCUGGGGCGUGU